CGGGUGGCAGCAGCAGUGGGGAAUAUUGCACAAUGGGCGCAAGCCUGAUGCAGCCAUGCCGCGUGUAUGAAGAAGGCCUUCGGGUUGUAAAGUACUUUCAGCGGGGGGGAAGGGAGUAAAGUUAAUACCUUUGCUCAUUGACGUUACCCGCAGAAGAAGCACCGGCUAACUCCGUGCCAGCAGCCGCGGUAAUACGGAGGGUGCAAGCGUUAAUCGGAAUUACUGGGCGUAAAGCGCACGCAGGCGGUUUGUUAAGUCAGAUGUGAAAUCCCCGGGCUCAACCUGGGAACUGCAUCUGAUACUGGCAAGCUAGAGUCUCGUAGAGGGGGGUAGAAUUCCAGGUGUAGCGGUGAAAUGCGUAGAGAUCUGGAGGAAUACCGGUGGCGAAGGCGGCCCCCUGGACGAAGACUGACGCUCAGGUGCGAAAGCGUGGGGAGCAAACAGGAUUAGAUACCCUAGUAGUC
rnacentral:rRNA from 1 species